CCGAGUUUACAACUCCCAAACCCAAUGUGAACGUUACCAAACUGUUGCCUCGGCGGGAUCUCUGCCCCGGGUGCGUCGCAGCCCCGGACCAAGGCGCCCGCCGGAGGACCAACCAAAACUCUUUUGUAUACCCCCUCGCGGGUUUUUUAUAUCUGAGCCAUCUCGGCGCCUCUCGUAGGCGUUUCGAAAAUGAAUCA
rnacentral:misc_RNA from 1 species